rnacentral:rRNA from 1 species
GAUGAACGCUGGCGGCGUGCCUAAUACAUGCAAGUCGAGCGAACAGACGAUGAGCUUUCUCCUCUGACGUUAGCGGCGGACGGGUGAGUAACACGUGGAUAACCUACCUAUAAGACUGGGAUAACUUCGGGAAACCGGAGCUAAUACCGGAUAAUAUAUUGAACCGCAUGGUUCAAUAGUGAAAGACGGUUUUGCUGUCACUUAUAGAUGGAUCCGCGCCGCAUUAGCUAGUUGGUAAGGUAACGGCUUACCAAGGCAACGAUGCGUAGCCGACCUGAGAGGGUGAUCAGCCACACUGGAACUGAGACACGGUCCAGACUCCUACGGGAGGCAGCAGUAGGGAAUAUUCGGCAAUGGGCGAAAGCCUGACGGAGCAACGCCGCGUGAGUGAUGAAGGUCUUCGGAUCGUAAAACUCUGUUAUUAGGGAAGAACAAAUGUGUAAGUAAAUAUGCACGUCUUGACGGUACCUAAUCAGAAAGCAACGGCUAACUACGUG